GAACCACCUUCUUGAUCAUGGUAUCUCCCUUGCCAGGUAAGUAUGAGUUGAACACGUUCAGGUGGGCUGAACGAUGCCCACGCGUGUUCCCGUGGAGAACGGUUGCAAAGCAUUCGGAGAUGUCUAGACUUUAAUAAACACUGUAGACCACCGGUCACACGAUGACAGGCGAAUCUGAAAUCAGCGAGAUGGAAGCAUAACGAAAGGAAACCUGGAGAUCCGAGUUAUCGACACGCCACAGAAAGAAUCCUUUUUUCUUUCUUAAACAACAGAAUAUCGUUGGAAUAAUUGUAAACAGUGCGUUUAUGAAUUGUAAAUGACACUUUAUUGUCUACAGGCGGACGGGUGUACUCUCAGGAGGAGUUUAGUUUUGUUUUUCACAGUGAGAGAGGGGUGCACCGGUCCUGGAGGUACUGCAAUACCAGGUCGAUGCGUGGAGUGGACGGGGCAAGCCCCUUUUCCAUCUCCCAGUUCCAAAAAUCAAUUUAAUAUAUGGUCCCCGGGUAGGGGACGUAUCAGAUAUUAAACUGAUAAGAACAGAUACUACACUUGAUCUUAGCCAAAAGGCCGAGAAGCGAUGGCCACACAUGCUCAGACCAAGAGGCGAGGUUCCCAGACACGUCGCCCCACGUGGCGGUUUAACAGACAACGAAAAAACAAAACAAAAGAAUGACCAAGCACCCUGUGUGCGUGUUUGUGUGUAUGUGAAAGCUGAAGAAAUAAACCGAGGUCGCUACAUCUCUUUGCUGCUGCCUGCUGGCAGUGUCACUAGGCCGUCUGCAUGUUUCACAAAUAGAGUUUGGAGCAGUGGAGGCUUCUAUAAGACUACAGGUGAAGCAGUGCUUCACCAAAAAAAUGUUAAAAAAUAAAUAAACCAACAAUACUAUCGAAUACUGCCAAAAUGGUGGUGCCCACGAUUUCCCCGCCCCAACAACGUCAACACCCGGAACUCUAUUGCAGCCAAUGAGCUCGAGUUGAAAAAGAAAAUAGCUUACAGCACGUGGUUUCACUCAGAUCCAUGCCAUCGCCAGGGAGACCUUUACCUGUGAUGUCUGCGGGAAGAGCUUGGCCACUAAACCAUCGCUGGUCAGCCAUCAACAGCUACACCAGUACCCCAACAUCAUUUUGUACCGGCAAGGAGAGGCCAGGCUGUACUGUACAGAGGCAGCAAGGUCUGUGGCAGAGGCCCGCAGCAGCACUGUUGUUGACCCUAAAUGGCUGGAUCUCAAGACAGCAGAGGCGGCUGCCAAGAGGUCGGGGGCUGAGCUGUGGAAAGGUCAGCUGGUCAUCACGUUCGGGUAGUACGCCGGUCAGACCUUCAGGUGGCUUGUGGAGAAUGAUGUCGGCUGGCUGGUGUGGCUGCUGUUCCAGUACUGCCAGCAGGGAGAGCAGAAGGAGCUGCUGAAGUGGCAGAAGGAGCGACUGCUCCUUCGGCCACAAGGUGACUCCUCACCUGAAAGUGCUGUCGGACGCACCGUUCCCGGAGGCUCCUGCGCUGCCAACAUCCCUCCCUCCGCCAGACCGGCCUCAGGUCCAGUACCGGCUCAUCUAUCACGAGGCUGGAAAGAGACGUGGUGAGAAGCGGAGAUUAUUUGUUGAUGAGCCACAGCCUGUGACUCCCGCGAACCGACCCGUUCAGCCCACUGGGUUGUCGUCCUCCACCCGGCCGAAGCCUGCUGCGCUCACCCCCAUUCUGCCGAGGCCUUCUGCGCCUACCCACCUCCAGCCGAGGCCACCCGCUGCGUUGACCUACGGCCCACCCCCUGUGUCGGCAGCACCCAUACUGCAGGUCUUCCCCGCACAGCCACAGGCGCCCUCCGUCCUGUUUCGUGGGACAUCCUGCAGCCAGAGCUUUGUCCCUCCUGCACCAACAGUCAAGGCAUUCAUGCCUAACAAGUCCUCAAGGCCAUGUGGGGCUUGCCACAUGCCAAACUGUGGUGGACAGUGGAAGAGGUACAACCCUUUCAAGGACAAAGUGGCUGGAAGCAUUCAGAAAAUGUUUUCCUACUGUCCAUCCACUAGGAAGUCCACUACCCCUGGCUUCGACAAUGUGGUGUAUGACAACUUUGAACUCUUUAAGAGUGUCGUGGAUGCAGAGUUGGAAAGGAGGACUGUGUGUGUGUGUGUGUGUGUGUGUGUGUGUGUGUGUGUGUGUGUGUGUGUGUGUGUGUGUGUGUGUG